rnacentral:lncRNA from 1 species
UCCAUGUUUGAGGAGCUUUAUGAAAUCUACAAAGGUAUUUCCAUGAACUUAAAGCAUACUCAGUAAGAACACUGGAAGCAACUCUAAUCUUUUGGCUUUUAGAUAGAUUAUGCUUUUUAAAUUCAUUGUCUACAUUUAGCUCCCAUUUAAUAUAUGCAUGUGGAUCACAAUUUCCUUCAAAAUAAGGUAAUGCAGAUUUUAUUUCAUCUAGCAAAACAUCACAUACCUCAUGAGUGCCAUACUUAUCACUUGUCACACCUUUAGCAAAGUGAUGUGAACAUGCAAUCUGAUUAUCGCUUGUUUCUACGUGGAUUCCUGCCAUGAUUAAAACAAAACAAGAGACAUACGCAAUAAUCUUUAUGCUCCUAUCAACUACAAGGAUGUGGUUGUUGUAAAUAUUUCACUCUCACCCUAUGCAAACAAGUUCUCACCAAGCGAAGCAGGAGGUGGCAGGAACCAGCAAGUCAGAAAACCUAGAAAAUGGUGUAUCAACGCUGCAGCAACAACACUUGUCAAGUUGUAGUCUGAUAUGUAGAGUUAUAGGAUGGCUCUAUAUAUUGCACAAGGAAGUACUAGCACCACAUUAGUCACAAAAGCAUGUUGAGAAAUCAUUCAACGGUGGCACUGUGCUGGUCCUAGGCUAGAUCGUGCUAGAGAAGCAAGCCUGGGCACAGAUGAAGUCACAAUAUCGCAAGAAUAAUAAGAACAACAAGAGAUAACUUCUCUUCUUUUCCUCUUCCUUUCUUUUCUUUCCUUUUUUUUCUUUUCUUUGCUUUUUCUUUUCUUUUUUUUGAUAUUUUUUUGUUUCUUUCUGUUUUUUUUUUCUACUUUGCUCGACUAAAAUAAAUCUGAAUCUUGAUGGAUUAGAUUUCAGAAAACACACAAUGUCUUUAGUGUAACAAAAAUACAACUAGCAGAUUAUGAUGGUGAUAUGAUGCUACAGUAACACUGAUUGCAACGGGGAUGAGAAAAAUAGAAUGUGAAAGAAGAGUGGAGGAGAGGCAAAAGGAUGCGCAUGAAGUGGACAAGGAUGCAAUGUUCUAAAAUUAGAUGCCCAAGAGUGGAAUGAAUCUAGUGGUUGCAAUAGGAUGCUGAUUAAAAAUAGGAUGCUGAUUAUAGAAUGUGCAAGAGCGCUUACAAUAGGAUGUAUGAAUGGAAGAAAGGAACAUGCAGGUGGCAGUGAGUAAGAAUAGGUUGCUCAUGGGUGGAAGUGAAAACGUGCAUGCAAUGGCCUAAAAAUAUAGGGUGCGCAUGAGUGAAAAGAGAGUGGUGGAUGGAGUUUACACGGUGCCCAAGUAGGGUGGUGAUGGUAGUUCAGAUAUAUAGUGUAGUCCAAAUGUAUAUGGUAAUAGUGAUUGCAGCGGAGAUUAUACGACGGGCAAUGACUAAAACGUGACAAAAACUCGAAACUCUAAAAGUCUAAACCCAAGACCAGCAAUUCGACUCGACCGAUGUAAAUCAAACACAACUUGCCUGAACUAAGUAGUACUAGUAAAAGGCUCAAUGGGUCUAUAGGAUGUUGGGAAUGAAACUAAAAUUUUUUUGGCUUUUCUGGAUUAUAGGAAAAAAAAUUGCAAACUAAAAUCUCUCACCAAUCAAACCUUGCUUUGAUACCACAUAAUAAGAACGAGGGUGUCCCGAUCUUUUCGGUGGAGAUGGAUAACUUCGAUCUCUCUAGAGCGACAUUCACGAUCCGACUACAACCGUCCAAGGACGCUGCGUCUUAGCGAUCGAUACACCAAUUCCAGCGGUUGAUCACGAUCUUGUUGAUCACAACCAACCAAACCACUAGGGUAAUUCCUGCACGCAAUCGAAGAACAUGCAAGAACAGAUAGAACACUCAAUUGCCAAAUAAUACAAGAAGGAUCUGAUAUGAAUCACGAUAACAAUAUGGGGUUUUGAAUCAAGUAGAACGGAUGGUCUAGUCGACACAUGCGUUUACAAGGAAGUAGCAAUGGCUAAACUUACAACAAAACAAAACCCGCCUUGUGUCUCUGGCUGUAGAAGCCUUUAUGUAC